CAACGAGUACUUUAAUUUACAAUCCUA
rnacentral:tRNA from 1 species